rnacentral:lncRNA from 1 species
AUGGAAAACAAGUCACUGUCUGCAACCUUUUCCACUCUAGUCCUCCUCUUGGGCUCCAAUCCAAUGACAAGUGUCCGUAUGAGGGAAACACAGAGGCGACACAGGGAAGGGAUGCGAUGGUCUGAAGCUGCAGGCAGAGGGGUCCGUGAUGCAGUCACAAGCCAAAGAAUGCUUGGAAGCUCCAGAAGUGGGAAAAGAAAGGGAGGAUCCUCUCCUACGGCUUCCAGAGGGAGCACAGCCCUACCAUUAACUUGAUUUCAGACUUCGGGUCCCUAAGAACUGUGAAGGAACAAAUAUUUCUUAUGUGAGCUGCUGAAGGUAUGGCCAUUCGUUGUGGUAGUUUUUUUUGAAAUGAAUACAGACCUUUUCAAAGAGAAAUAAGAAGUUAUUAAAAGAAGCUGUAAUGUUGCCAUGAAUGUGGAUGGGUGUGUGGAGAAGGACAGUGCAUGUCCCCACUGAAUACAGAGGAAUCUUUCUCCAUACUGUGCUCAUGUAUGCAAAGUAAAUGUACUUAAGGUAUUUCCUGAUUUGUAUCUGCUCUCAGUAACACCCUUACCUGCAGCUCCACUGCUGUCUCCAUGCCUUGUAUGUAGAGUGCAGGGACUGUUUCCAGAAGCUGAGUUUUUGCAAGAGAUGACUUCAACGAAACGCCACUGCAUUAUCAUUUUCAAAAUAUUAUUGUUAUAUUUUCCCUCUAGUAGAUUUUUGGACCAUCAGGAAGAGCAUUCAUUGAAAUCUGGGCCCCUCUGUCAUUCUUAGAAGGUGAAAGUUGCUUCUCCACCAGGAUGUUGAUGUGUUUUGCAGGAUUUACUAGGCCAGCAAGUACUGUAUGAGUCUAAUCUCUGGCCACUGGAAUUUCAACUUCCUUCUUCAAGGAAUCUUUCUUCUAACUGGCAUCUGGCCGUUUUCAGUUCACGUGUCCUUAACAUGGGGAUAGGCCUUUGAUAUGUCUCAUUUCUUGUGAGAAAGUUGUGGAUAGAGGAGCAACACCUGCUAAAGAGUAGCCACAGCUGGUGUUGGCACCUAAGGCAAAUCCUCCCCUGUGUCUCUUUCUCCCAGCCUUUUCGCAUCCAGAAUCCAGUUGCUGCAAUUCAAGAGAGACAGAUACCGGCAUGAACCACCACCAUUCUGUGACCUUUCAAGCUGGUCACAGCUUUGACAUUACUAGCUGGCCUCUCUUUCUUAGAGCCCAAUAUUUUCCUAUAAAGCACAACCUUUGAAAACAUAAUCAUCAAAUCUAAGACACCUUCACUUGUAAGGGGCAAUAUUCACUACACCACUGAAGCAGAGAUUACCAAAUAGACUCUGCAGUAAUGCUUCAGCGAGCAAUUCAUACACUUUUCCAUUAGGUCACUACAGCCUCUCAUUGCUUUCACAUUUUUUUCAUAAUCCAUUCUGCAGGAUUGGCCAACUUUUCUUUCCUUCCAUUACCUGCACUGGUGGUUAACAGGCAGAGUCUUAUUAUGUGGAUUGUGGUGGACUACAACUUUGCCUCAGAGCUUUAACCCUGCUUUAUAUAUCCACAGUUUCAGUUCAUUUUUGUUUGCUUUUGAGAAGUUGAGAGACGGAGAGAGAGAGAGAGAGAGAGAGAGAGAGAAAGAGAGAGAGAGAGAGAGCUUUCAUAUGCUGGUUCACUCCACAAAUGCCUGCCACAUCUAGGGCUGGGCCAGGCAAAAGCUGGGAGUCAGAGGAACUGAUGUGGUGUAGUGGGUUGAGCUACUGUCUGUGACAGUGGCAUCCCAAAAGGGUGCUGAUUUGAGCUCCAGCUACUCCACUUCCAAUCUAGAUCCCUGAUAAUGUGCCUAGGAAAGCAGUGGAAGAUUUUCCAAAUCCCUGGGCCCUUGUACCCACGUUGGAACCCCAGAUGAAGCUCCUGCCUCCUGGUUUUGGCCUGGCUUAGCCAUGGCCUUUGCAUCCAUUUCAGGGAAUGAACCAGCAGAUGGAAGAUUUGUUCAUUCUCUCUCUCUCUCUCUACAUAUAUAUAUACAUACAUAAAUACAUACAUAUGUAUGUAUGUAUAUAUAUAUAUAUAUAUCUGCCUUUCAAAAAAGCUGGGAGCCAGGAACUAAAUUCGAAUCUCCCACAUGGGUAGCAGUAUCUAUCACUGCUACCUCCCAGGGUCUGCACUGGCAGGAACUUAGUGUAAGGAGCUGGAUCUGGGUAUCAAACCCAUGUACUUGGAUGUGGGAUGUGGGAUAUGGGCAUCUUAACUGCUAAAGGCUUGUCACCAUGAUUUUUUAAAUAUAACUUUGCAAUUCUACUCACCAAAGAGGCAAAGAAUAUUUCUCCAGUCCUUGCCUUUAGUCAAGGAUUUCUUGACUAUAGUCUCAGUUACCCACAAAACACAUCUUAGUGUGCUAUGAAAGCUAUUUUGUGAUGGAUAAGUCAUAAUGAGUGCUUUCAGUGAGGGAAUUAUCUGGAAACAGUGAUAUGUCUGAUUCAGUCAAUGGGAAGGCCUCAAAACAAAGAAGAAAUUCCCCUGUGGACUUCGGAUUCUGUGCUAUAGAAUUCUACUUGCUCUUUCUGAUAGCUUGCCCUAUGGAUAGUCAGACUCUACAAUUGCAUAAGCAACUCCUUGCAAUAAAUAACUUAAAAUACCUUUCCUAUUGGUUCCA